rnacentral:rRNA from 1 species
UACGGAGGAUGCGGGCGUUAUCCGGAUUUAUUGGGUUUAAAGGGUGCGUAGGCGGACUGUCAAGUCAGCGGUAAAAUUGAGAGGCUCAACCUCUUCCCGCCGUUGAAACUGGUGGUCUUGAGUGGAUGAGAAGUACGCGGAAUGCGUGGUGUAGCGGUGAAAUGCAUAGAUAUCACGCAGAACUCCGAUUGCGAAGGCAGCGUACCGGCAUCCAACUGACGCUGAGGCACGAAAGCGUGGGGAUCAAACAGG